rnacentral:misc_RNA from 1 species
AGUGGGGUCCGCUUUGCUGGUCCUUGACGUGAUAAGAUGUUUCUACGUUUUGGAUUUAGCACUGUCCCUUGGAUGCCUGCUCCUAACUGUCUCACGGACAAUGAUGGUGCUCUGGUCACUGCCAUCUACAUUGGCGGGAGGCUGGACCCACAAAAGAAAACCUUGACCUCAAAUCGGGUGAGACUACCCGCUGAACUUAA